rnacentral:rRNA from 1 species
UACGAAGGGGGCUAGCGUUGUUCGGAAUUACUGGGCGUAAAGCGCACGCAGGCGGUGCGGUCAGUCAGAAGUGAAAGCCCCGGGCUUAACCUGGGAACUGCUUUUGAUACUGCCGCGCUUGAAUCACGGAGAGGGUAGUGGAAUUCCGAGUGUAGAGGUGGAAUUCGUAGAUAUUCGGAAGAACACCAGUGGCGAAGGCGACUACCUGGCCGUCGAUUGACGCUCAUGUGCGAAAGCGUGGGGAGCAAACAGG